AUAUAUACACACACACACACACACACACACACACACACAUAUGUGUGUGUGUGUGUGUGUGUGUGUGUGUAUAU